rnacentral:rRNA from 1 species
CGGUCUGGGAUGGACUCGCGGCCUAUCAGCUUGUUGGUGAGGUAAUGGCUCACCAAGGCGAUGACGGGUAGCCGGCCUGAGAGGGCGACCGGCCACACUGGGACUGAGACACGGCCCAGACUCCUACGGGAGGCAGCAGUGGGGAAUAUUGCACAAUGGGCGAAAGCCUGAUGCAGCGACGCCGCGUGAGGGAUGACGGCCUUCGGGUUGUAAACCUCUUUCAGCAGGGAAGAAGCGAAAGUGACGGUACCUGCAGAAGAAGCACCGGCUAACUACGUGCCAGCAGCCGCGGUAAUACGUAGGGUGCGAGCGUUGUCCGGAAUUAUUGGGCGUAAAGAGCUUGUAGGCGGUUUGUCGCGUCUGCUGUGAAAAUCCGGGGCUCAACCCCGGACUUGCAGUGGGUACGGGCAGACUAGAGUGUGGUAGGGGAGACUGGAAUUCCUGGUGUAGCGGUGAAAUGCGCAGAUAUCAGGAGGAACACCGAUGGCGAAGGCAGGUCUCUGGGCCACUACUGACGCUGAGAAGCGAAAGCAUGGGGAGCGAACAGGAUUAGAUACCCUGGUAGUCCAUGCCGUAAACGUUGGGAACUAGGUGUGGGUCUCAUUCCACGAGAUCCGUGCCGCAGCUAACGCAUUAAGUUCCCCGCCUGGGGAGUACGGCCGCAAGGCUAAAACUCAAAGGAAUUGACGGGGGCCCGCACAAGCGGCGGAGCAUGUGGAUUAAUUCGAUGCAACGCGAAGAACCUUACCAAGGCUUGACAUAUACCGGAAACAUCCAGAGAUGGGUGCCCCGCAAGGUCGGUAUACAGGUGGUGCAUGGUUGUCGUCAGCUCGUGUCGUGAGAUGUUGGGUUAAGUCCCGCAACGAGCGCAACCCUCGUUCUAUGUUGCCAGCACGUGAUGGUGGGGACUCAUAGGAGACUGCCGGGGUCAACUCGGAGGAAGGUGGGGAUGAGGUCAAAUCAUCAUGCCCCUUAUGUCUUGGGCUUCACACAUGCUACAAUGGCCGGUACAAAGGGCUGCGAAACCGCAAGGUGGAGCGAAUCCCAAAAAACCGGUCUCAGUUCGGAUUGGGGUCUGCAACUCGACCCCAUGAAGUUGGAGUCGCUAGUAAUCGCAGAUCAGCAACGCUGCGGUGAAUACGUUCCCGGGCCUUGUACACACCGCCCGUCAAGUCACGAAAGUCGGUAACACCCGAAGCCGG